GAUGAACGCUAGCGGCAGGCCUAACACAUGCAAGUCGAGGGGGGAGCCUUCGGGCUUCGACCGGCGUACGGGUGCGUAACGCGUAUACAAUCUGCCUUUCACAUAGGGAUAGCCCGAAGAAAUUUGGAUUAAUACCUAAUGGUAUAUAGAUGUGGCAUCACCUUUAUAUUAAAGCUGAGGCGGUGAAAGAUGAGUAUGCGUUCUAUUAGCUAGUUGGAGAGGUAACGGCUCCCCAAGGCGACGAUAGAUAGGGGUUCUGAGAGGGAUAUCCCCCACACUGGUACUGAGAUACGGACCAGACUCCUACGGGAGGCAGCAGUGAGGAAUAUUGGACAAUGGUCGGAAGACUGAUCCAGCCAUGCCGCGUGCAGGAAGACGGCCUUAUGGGUUGUAAACUGCUUUUGCAGGGGAAGAAUAAGGACUACGCGUAGUUUGAUGACGGUACUCUGCGAAUAAGCAUCGGCUAACUCCGCG
rnacentral:rRNA from 1 species